GAUUAUACUAGUCUGGAAUAAUAAAAUAAAAACUUGACUCUAUUUUAUUGUAUUGCGUAUCUCAAGUUAAUGAUUAGAAUGAAAAGACGGGACCAUCCGUACUCUGCCGUUAGAGGUGAAAUUCUUGGAUCGGCGGAAGACGCGCAACUGCGAAAGCAUUUGCCAAGAAUGUUUUCUUUAAUCAAGAACGAAAGUCGGAGGUUCGAAGACGAUCAGAUACCGUCCUAGUUUCGACUGUAAACUAUGCCAGCUAACGAUCAGACAGCGUUCUCUACGACUUGUCUGGCAGUUUCCGGGAAACCAAAGCUUUUGGGUUCCGGGGGAAGUAUGGUCGCAAAGCUGAAACUUAAAGGAAUUGACGGAAGGGCACCACCAGGAGUGGAGCCUGCGGCUUAAUUUGACUCAACACGGGGAAACUCACCCGGCCCGGACACAGUGAGGAUUGACAGAUUGAGAGUUCUUUCUUGAUUCUGUGGGUGGUGGUGCAUGGCCGUUCUUAGUUGGUGGAGCGAUUUGUCUGGUUAAUUCCGAUAACGAACGAGACUCUGGCAUGUUAAAUAGUCGCGGGAGUUAUUAUUACUCGCCUUGAUGACUUCUUAGAGGGACAAGUGAUUUUAAUCACACGAGAUUGAGCAAUAACAGGUCUGUGAUGCCCUUAGAUGUUCGGGGCCGCACGCGCGCUACAAUGAGUCGAUCAACGAGCGUUCUUUUUCCCAAGUCCGAAAGGUCGAGGUAAUCCGUUGAACCCGACUCGUGCUAGGGAUAGGGAAUUGUAAUUGUUUCCCUUGAACGAGGAAUUCCCAGUAAGCGCAAGUCAUCAGCUUGCGUUGAUUACGUCCCUGCUCUUUGUACACACCGCCC
rnacentral:rRNA from 1 species